UGCCAGCAGCCGCGGUAAUACGGAGGGGGCUAGCGUUGUUCGGAAUUACUGGGCGUAAAGCGCGCGUAGGCGGGCUGUUAAGUCGGGGGUGAAAUCCCGGGGCUCAACCCCGGAACUGCCUCCGAUACUGGCAGCCUAGAGAUCGAGAGAGGCGAGUGGAAUACCGAGUGUAGAGGUGAAAUUCGUAGAUAUUCGGUGGAACACCAGUGGCGAAGGCGACCUCCUGGACUGAUAUUGACGCUGAGGCGCGAAGGCGUGGGUAGCGAACGGGAUUAGAUA
rnacentral:rRNA from 1 species